rnacentral:rRNA from 1 species
CCUACGGGUGGCUGCAGUGGGGAAUAUUGGACAAUGGGGGGAACCCUGAUCCAGCCAUGCCGCGUGUGUGAAGAAGGCCCUCGGGUUGUAAAGCACUUUCAGUGAGGAAGAACGCCUGGUGGUUAAUACCCAUCAGGAAAGACAUCACUCACAGAAGAAGCACCGGCUAACUCCGUGCCAGCAGCCGCGGUAAUACGGAGGGUGCGAGCGUUAAUCGGAAUUACUGGGCGUAAAGCGCGCGUAGGUGGCUUGAUAAGCCGGUUGUGAAAGCCCCGGGCUCAACCUGGGAACGGCAUCCGGAACUGUCAAGGUAGAGUGCAGGAGAGGAAGGUAGAAUUCCCGGUGGAGCGGUGAAAUGCGUAGAGAUCGGGAGGGAUACCAGUGGCGAAGGCGGCCUUCUGGACUGACACUGACACUGAGGUGCGAAAGCGUGGGUAGCAAACAGGAUUAGAUACCCCUGUAGUC